GUGAAUCAUCGAAUUUUUGAACGCAAAUUGCACUCUCUUCGGAGAGUAUGCCUGUUUGAGGGUCAGGAUUAAUAAAAAUCGGUGUGUUGCUUCUUUGUUACGGCCCGGAGUCUGGGUCAUCUUAAUAUAUCCUUGAGGUUUUAAGGGGCGUGAAAUUUACUUUUUUUUGCGCAUUUUAUUAGUUGGACAUAAAUUUUUUUUCUUAUUCGUCUGUCUUAAGGCUCAAAAUCCUAUUAGAUGCGACCAUAUCGUGAGGUUUCGUG
rnacentral:misc_RNA from 1 species